rnacentral:tRNA from 17 species
CGGAGUGUGGCUCAGUCUGGUAGAGCACUGCGUUCGGGACGCAGGGGUCGCAGGUUCGAAUCCUGCCACUCCGACCA